rfam:Picea glauca, whole genome shotgun sequence.
ACAUGCCUACAAUGUAGUGUUAAUGCAUCAUAUCCCAUUAGAACUCUGUAGUUAAGCGUGCUCAAGCUAGAGUAAUACUAGGAUGGGUGAUCGCCUCAGAAUUCCUAGUGUUUUACAUGCC